rnacentral:lncRNA from 1 species
AACGUGAUCGGGGCGAGGAGGGCUUCGUGGAGGAUUAUAUCCUCCAUUGAGCAGAAGGAGGAGAGCAGAGGCAAUGAGGACCACGUGGCUAUUAUAAAGGAGUACAGGGGAAAGAUUGAGACCGAACUCAGCAAGAUCUGUGAUGGGAUUUUGAACCUCCUUGAGUCCAACCUCAUCCCUUCUGCUCAAUCUCCCGAAAGUAAAGUCUUUUACCUUAAAAUGAAGGGUGAUUACCACAGGUACCUUGCUGAGUUUAAGACUGGGGCAGAGAGGAAAGAUGCUGCA